rnacentral:antisense_RNA from 1 species
CCUCUCGAGUAGCUGAGAUUACAGGCAUGAGCCACACCCGGCCUAAAAAUCAUUUAAUUUUUUAUGCUUGCCUAGUUAUAAGGUCAAAAAUAAUCAAAUGACUGAUGCAGUCAGCACCUAACAACCUCUGUAUAUGGAAAGGGGGUAAUGAGAACAUACUAUUUGGAAAUAAUAACUUAGCCUAAGAGCCAGGUGCUGAAGUUACAUUUCUGCCUACCACAGCUAAAGCUCUCCUUACUGUCUCCUACCCAGUUCUACUUUCCAUCAAUUACCAAUCUCUUGUAUAAAUGUAUCCAUUACCAGGCUCACAGACUGGGAGUGAUUUUUCUCCUUUGGAGCUCGUCCAGAAUCCAUCAGCCUCACACACAUAUUUACCUGCAAAUCAUUGGAAAAGCAAAAAUGUUUAACUGCAUGUAUAAGAUGGUUGUCAUUUGCUUGAAUACCCCCUUGAAAAAUGUUGAUUCUUGAGCAUCCAUGGGAAAUAGAGGUGUCUGAAGAACCAUUUUACAUGAUUUCAUAAAUAGGAGGUCUCUGCAUUACCAUGUUUGCUUGCAAAGUGGAAACCUUUUAGAUGUGUAACUUGAAUAUGUAUCAAGAUCUCAAGUGCUUAAUGAUAAGGUUUUGACUUGUUAAAUUAAACCAUUUGGAAUAUA